AUCGUAAGAUCGGGACCGGCUACAAUCGGCCUAAAAUCGGAAAGUGCCGUGCAAGCUGCCGAAUGAAACCGGAAUGACCCGAGGAUAUCUGAAUGUUAUGUGUACGUUUGCGACAUCACAGCUCAUUUACGGCAGCUACUGUCAACGUGGAAGAAGCUGGGCUGACUGACAUUGGCGUUUUUAAUAAACAACCUAUCAUCAACUAAACAACCAAUCAUCAACUGAGAUCAACAUGAGGCAGCUGAAGGGCAAGGUCAAGGAGUCUCGCAAGGAGAAGCGAGAACGCAAAUUGGACAAUAUGAAAAACAAGGACGGCCUGAUGACGGUGGUGCUUCCAGUGCUGGGGGUGAUCGCCUUGUUGAUUGGACUGUUUGUGUACGUGAACACCCGCCCGAUGCCCAAUGAGCAGUGAUCUGACCAGCGAUACUGGACAUUUAUUGUUACCAUUAUAUUUCUAUAUUUCAUGGUUAUGGGUGUUUCUGAGAAUUGUAGGAGUGCUGAGUGAAAGUUUGGUGUUUUACCUGUUAUUCAAGAUUAUGCCAUAAUACAUUUGUAAUUUUAAUAUUCAUACAUCAUGUCAUGGAUUUUUAGCUACUGAGAUUAUAAGGUGGUGUGAAUUUAUAUCUCUGCAGUAUUAUGCAAUGGAAUAUACAUGCUUUAUCCAGUCUUGGGAUCUGGGUCACAUCUGUGAACAAAAUGAAUUCCAUGCAUCACUUUGGAAAUAAUUGUUAUUGUUGAACUUAUUUUAUUUUUCUGGGCUUCUGGGUUAUGCUGUGUGAACAAAAUAACUUCUGAUCAGUCAUGGCCCAAUGCUCAUGACACGUGACACUUUUGUCCGAAUCCAUACAGUUUGUGUGUGUGCACUCAUCCUUCUGGGUACCCAUUCACUGCUGGGUGAACGGAGGCCCAUUAAAAGCCACCUGCCAGAGGACACCCAACAUUUUGUGUCAGUGACUUCAUCCCUGCCAUCUUAGUAUGAUCUGACAAAUGGGUCCAGGCAUACAUAAGCCCACAUGCCAUCUUGAACGUAGCUGUGCUCAAACCUUGUGUCAAACAUAAUGAAUGAAUCAUGACACCCCUACGAACAAGUGAAUCUCAUCAUCAAUAUCACGACUAGUUCAUGAUUUAGGAGGAUGAAACAAAAACAAAAUGCUAAUGUCAGCCGAGCAAAGAAACAAUGCGAGUAAUGUGUGAAGUCUAGUCAUUAUUUAUUUUUGAAAGUGCCACAGCUUUCAUGAUAGUCUUGUAUUUGUUGGGAAUGAGUUCACUGAGUUUGAAUCCUCACACGAUGAUGGGGGCAGUGAGGUAGCCUAGUGGUUAAAGCGUUAAAGCUGGAGUCCCGGUUCGAUUCCUACAUGGGUACAAUGUGUGAAGCCCAUUUCUGGUGUCCCCCGCCGUGAUAUUGCUGGAAUAUUGCUACAAGCGGCGUAAAAGCAAACUCACUCACUCACAGGAUGAUGUUUCCAGCUUUGUUAGCACCAUAACCGCUCCUGUGUUUGUUGAAAGUGAUAAAAAUAUGUAGAUUAGAACAGCAUCACUUCAGACGUUCCUUUCAUCAAACUGAUGUAACUUGUUCAACACAGUAUUAUGCUAAACUCUAUGAUAAUGAUAACAACUAAAGUAGUGUUUAUUUGUAAUGCGCUAAAUCCACACCUGAAAGCUAAGAGCUACAUGACAACCCAGGUGAUUUGAUCAGCAUGAUCAACAUCCACUUGAUUUUCAUUCUCAGCUCCUUGGGGAGUAUACAAUAACUCGGAGAUGCCAGUAGGCUGCCACUAUGUUGUCAUGCACCUGUUUGGUUACGGUAAUAGAUUUCCACAUAAUUAUUGAUGUAUAUCACAAGAACUAGUUCUAGUUAUCAGAUUGUAGCUUCAACAUAUUUAACAGAAACCUGUUUUUGUUUGAAACAAAUUUUUGUAUUGUUUAAAAAGAUAUAUUUUGCAUAAUAAUUGUUCUUUUAGGAAUUGACUCUCUCCAUGUACUAUUAUUUAAAAGGUAAUUUUCAUUGUUUUUUAUUGAAAACUACCUAAUUUCCACCAUUUCACACACUCUGUUUAUGAGCUUUUUUAUUCAAACUACUUAUAUGGUAAGAUGUGAUAUGUGAAAGAUAGGACUUCAGAUUUAGGACCUAUCACCAAAGAAAUAAUCUCUUGUCAUUUGAUUUUGAGAUGAUAUUUUUUGUUCUUUUGUUAGCCUAUAUACAUGCACUUUGUUCCCAGAUCUUGCAGUUGCUAGCCACCAAGAUACAACUACCAAAAACAUUUAUUGUUAUGAGAUAUGUGUGAAUGAAUCAAUGUAUUGCUUCUUUGUAAGUCUUUUUAAAUAUUGCUGAUAAUAAUUACUGAUUAUGCAGAACAUGUUACCAUGGUAACAAAAACACUUGAAAUGAAAUGAGAAUCAUAUUAAUUGUGUCAUCAGUUUUUAUGUAAAACAUUCUACUGUUAAAAUUGCUCCAUUAGUUUUGUUAUCAGGUCAUUCCUAUUCCCAGCCUGUACACUUAAUUCUGCCCAUGAGUAUAUGGCUUGUCAAAGGAGGAAUGUUGUAUAUCUUCUGGCAGCAGACAAGAAGGCUUUCAACUGAAAGCCUCACUGCAUAAUGUUAGACUGUAUUUGUGAAGGGGGUUAUGGGGAAGAUCUGUUGUAAUGAAUUAUUAUGUCUUAUGAGAUUAUUAAAAGUGAUAUUUAUCAAA